rnacentral:lncRNA from 1 species
UAUGCAUAAUCAUGAUAAUUUUCCUUUCAAUUUUAAAAAAUUCUGAUUUAUGUCAUUGUACUAUUGGGAUUUGGAUAGUCUCAAGAAUGCUUUCACCAAUUUUUAUGAAACUUUGGUGAAUUGUUUUUAAAUCUUGACAUAAACUCCCUUUUCAUUUUCAUGACCCAUAGUGGAGGGGGCAUUAAGUUUAACACUUGAUCUUCUGUCCGUCUGUCCAAAAGUUGUUUUUUGUUCUCUUACAGUACUUUAGUUUGCCUCAACCAAAUUUAAUUAAACUUUUACAAAAGCUUGUUAUCACAAUACUCAGAUCAAGUUUGAAUUUUGGUGAUGUCAGUGUUACUGUACUAGAGUUAUGCCCCUUUACAAAUGGGAAAAAAAUGCUGAAUUUUUGGUUUCCCGUUCUCUUAACUUUAGUUUGUCUCAACCAAAUGUUAUGAAACUUAUACACAAUGCUUA